CAACCCACGAGUUUUCUGCUUUACUCUUCCAUUUCUCUCCCCGAUCCCCCUGCUGGGGGAGUGAGUGAGCGGCUGCGUGGGGCUGAGCUGCCGACUGGGGUUAAAGCACAAGACAAGGCAACCGGAUUCUGUGGAUCCUUUCUGAACAGUGAUGGGGCAAAUUAAGGAAAAAGAAAAGCAUUAAGCAAUGCUUGAAAAAGGACUUUGUCAGCUUCUGACUAUUUAAAACUUUUCUCAUAGGUUUGAUUUGAAAUGUCUUGGGUAGUUCUUAUGCUCACACUAAUCAGAAAAGACUCAGUUACAUGUGUUGGUAAGUGGCAAAUUCCAUAAAAGCUCCUGAUGUCUUUAGGAGAAAUCCACCUGCAGCCUGUAAUCAAACUGUGCAUCUCAAGGGAACCCUGAACUUUGCCUUGGACAGUAUGAGAGAAAGAAAUUGCUGAGGGGGGAUGUUACCCAGAUUUAAACUGGGUUUAGUAUUUUUGUCAAGAAACUGAAUAACAACAUCUGUUUUAAAAAAAGUAAUGUCUGCUUUCAAGAAUCAUCAACUACCUGCACUGACAUAUCCUUCUCCUAAUAAUCCAUAAGGGACUAUUGAAAUAAUAACAAGUUACAAAUUUGUGAGAAUUGCUUUUGUAAAAAGAUGAUUUCACCAUUAAAAUAAUUAUGUUUUUAAAUGAUUAGCCCUCACAGUCACUAUUUCAAAGUAAACUGUGUCUAUUGUUUUUGAAUUUCUGAUCAAUUUUGUCUCAUGUAGUGGGUGGGCUGCUGUCAGAUGUUUGGCAGACUACAAUGCAAAUUAAGUUUUUUAGUCUAUGGGAAUAUCCAUUAACCGUACACAUUUCCAAACUUUAAAAUGCAUGCUUGAAAAUUACAGUUGAUUAGAUUCUUUGUUGUGAAUUGCAGAACAAAAGCUGAAAAUCCAGCUCUGCUUUUCAUGUAUUAUAUCAAACAAUGAUGCAAUUCCACUAUUGUAUAGAAUAAAAGGUGUGUUCAUGUUUGAAGAACACAGUGUCCAUAAAGUUUAAUCUGCAGUCUUAUGUUCAGAGAGGUUUGUAAAUCGAUUCUUCACUAGAUGCUGUAACUCUUGUCGACUGAAGAUAAAUGGCUGAAUUCCAAGAGAAUACAACACAAAGAAAACCAUUAGCCCUGACAAUUCAUAAACAAAGUAAAGAAUAUUAGUCACUCUUUGUUCUUGUAAAAUAGUACCCAGGUUUCAAACACGAAAAAGGAAGCUCAAAUAAACCAUUGCAAUUAUUUAGUCAAAAUGUGUUUGUUUAUGAACAAAAAAAGAAAAAAGGUUGGUUUCUUUAUAAGAAGUAAAAAGAAGGAGAAGAGGCAGGAGAAACCUCCAUCGUAAUCCCAACAGCUAUGUUAAUAGGUACAGCUUUGUUUUCAGCCUUUUUUGUUUUAUUAUCUCAAUCUUGCUGACCUAUUUCUUCACUGAAAAAAGAGUGUCUGAAGCACAUCGAAUGCUUCUAGGUCAGAGGUUCCCAGCGUCUG